GACGAACGCUGGCGGCGUGCUUAACACAUGCAAGUCGAACGAAGUGGCGAACGGGUGAGUAACGCGUAAUCAACCUGCCCUUCAGAGGGGGACAACAGUUGGCAACGACUGCUAAUACCCCAUACUGAAGGAGGGGCUUGCGUCUGAUUAGCUAGUUGGAGGGGUAACGGCCCACCAAGGCGAUGAUCAGUAGCCGGUCUGAGAGGAUGAACGGCAACAUGGGGACUGAGAAAAGGCCCAGACUACUACGGGAGGCAGCAGUGGGGAAUCGUCCGCAAUGGACGAAAGUCUGACGGAGCAACGCCGCGUGAGUGAUGACGGCCGUCGGGUUGUAAAGCUCUGUUAAUCGGGACGCGGUACCGGAAUAGAAAGCCACGGCUAACUACGUGCCAGCAGCCGCGGUAAUUC
rnacentral:rRNA from 1 species